CCUUGUCCUGCCUGUGGCUGUCCGUGGUCAGUCUGGAAGGCCCAGCUGGCCUGUGGGCAAGUGUCCUGAAGUACUUACAGCAGUGUGUCUAUCUGGCUUGGUAGCUCAGAGCCUUGUGAGAGCAAGCUCGGUGUCAGGAUGCUGGAGCUAGGUUUUGAAGAAGAUUCAGCCAUGGUUAGAUGGAGGCAGUGAUUCCAACCAGCACGUUGGAUCUUUCCACUCAUCCGGUCUCCCAUAGGCCAGGCCUUGGGUGCAGGGGCAGAUAAGAGGAGCCCACUUUCUAUGGGAAAGGAGCCCCCAUCUCAUUGUUGAGGCACCUGCCACUCAUGACCCUGAGCCAGGACCGAGCUGUGCUGUCUAGCAGUGAGUCCUGAAGCAGGACAGGGACCCAGCACUCAUUCACGUGGAUAGAGACCUUGGGCUUGGUCACUGUUCCUUACCAGUGGUGUGCACCUCCAAGGAUACCCAGAAUGUGGCCCUUGGCUCACCAUUCCACAAAAGCAAGUGAUGCAGCAGGACUGAUAGCUGUCUAAGCCCUGUCACCGAGCUCCCAGCUGCUGAGGUGGUCGUGUGGCUAGCUGCACAGGCGGGAGUGGCUGGGUCCCUUUGAAAGUGCCUGUCUGCCUGUUGGUCCUUGCCUGUGUGUGCACUUCUGUCCCCGCCUCCUGGCCACCUCAGCUAAAGAGGGGAAGCUGAAUAAUUGGCCAGGCCCCGUCAGCUCAUACAUACCUGCCUCUGCCUGGCCUAGGAUGUGGCUCUUGCACACGCUGCUCUGCAUUUCCAGCCUGGCACCCCUGGGGGCCUUCAAUGUGGACGUGACCAGGCCCUGGGUCACCCGGGAGGGAGGUGCGCCUUUCGUGCUCAGCUCGCUUCUGCACCAAGAUCCCAGCACCAACCAGACCUGGCUCCUGGUCACCAGCUCUAGAAGCAACAGGGCAUCGGCACCCCUGCACCGAUGUUCCCUUGCCCAGGAUGAAAUCGUUUGC
rnacentral:lncRNA from 1 species